CAUUCAUAUGCCCCAGAGUUCCAUUCCGUCUUCUUCCAGGUCGGGCGCGGCAUGUGGGACCUAAGCUCUGGAGCGCGGAUACCCAGACCUUUGCAGGUGGGCAUCUUCCUCAUCUUCGUGCUCUCCCUCACCUGGCCAGGGUGGUAUAGGGAUAUGCCCUUCAUUGGCGCCCUGGAGUCGGGGAGGUUUGAAGUCCUACCCUCUUACUAUCUGCACCUGGGAAAAGGUAUUAACUCGUCACCAGCAAUCCCCACUACACCUCCAAGGGUGAUUGAGAUGAGCCUGGAGCGCAGUUUGGCAGAAUGUCCCAGGCCAGAAAUGACAGGGACUACAACCGGAGUCAGGGUGAAGACAUCUAGAGGUGCAGAGGGGAAAAAAAGAACACCCUUUGCCCUGGACACAGGUUGCUAAAGGCUGUCCUUGGGAGCCUCGGAGUGGGAAACCUCCGACCUCAGCUGGAACUCCAAGUUCCCAGUCCCCUUACCCCUUCAGGUGCCAGUUUGACAGGUACAAACCACGCCCAGACACGAAGAAGGCAGCUCAGGGAACUUGUGGCAACAGGGAUUUAAUAGGCGAAUCCUCUCACAACACACAGGAUGUUGUGGAACUUCAAUCCGUUUGUAAACUUUCUCUUCCCACUUUCGCUGCAGGAAUCCCCUGCUGACCUCCAUCCUCCCACCCCACUGCUAUGUAUGAGUUCAUCUUCCAUAACUGCUGCUCAGCCAGUUUGGAUUAUUUUCCCAAUUAACAAGGAGAACUUCCUAGUGAAAGGUAUAGACGUGACUACAAAAAGAAGCGUAUGACUCUUUUGCAAGACUGUCCCACCAUCAAUAAUAAAAACACUAUGUUAUUAUUUUAGAUUCUAGACUAGAUUCAGCACCUUCUUCCCUAUUAAAAUAUAUAUUAUCCAUCCUGUUGGAAUUGAAGCAAGUUUUCUAAACUUCUGCUCUCCAUAGUAACACAAGUCCUUUCUAAAAUGUGAAUCUAAUCUUUCCACUCCCAGAAACUUAAAACCCUUCCAAAGUCUCUAGGUCACAUAUAAUGUGCUUCAUGAUCUAGCUUUUCAUUCCAGCCCUUUCUAGAUAUCAUCACCUUGCCUUGCACUUUCCCCCACCACACACAUACCUCACACCUUACAUGACUAAGGUAUUUGCCCAAGAGAAACAGGAAAUGUGUUCAUUCUCAUCCCCCUUCUCUCCCCCGCCCCAACACAUAUACACGCAUGAUAAAAGAUUUACUUUAAAGAAUUGCUUCACAUGAUUAUGGAUGCUGGCAGGUCACUCUCAAAUCUGUAGGGCAGUUCUGGCAGACUGGAAGGAAACUCAGGCAAGAGUGGAUGCUUCUGACUAGAGCAGAAUUUCCACUUUUCUAGAAAGUCUACCUUUUACUCCUAAGUGAGGCCCACCUGCAUUAUCUAGACUAAUCCUCUUUCCUUAAAAUCAACUGGUUGUAAAUAUUAGCUACAUCUGCAAAAUAUCUUCACAGCAACACUUACAUCUUCAUUAGAGUUUGACUAAAUGACUGGGUAUUAGAGCCUAGCCAAACUGACAUAAAAUUAACCAUCUCCAGUAUUAUUAUCCUUCAGAUUCUCCAUGCUAUCAGAAGUUGUCCAAGAACCCUGGAAAAUGAGGUGUCUUACCAACUAUUUCCCAAUUCACCCUUUUUUUGGUUUUGUUUUGGUACCAGGGAUUGAACCCAGAGGCACUGAACCUCUGAGCCAUAUCCUCUUUUUAUUUUUUAUCUUUUCAUGUUGAGAUAGUCUUGUUCAGUGGCUUAGGGCCUCACUAAGUUGCAGAGCUGGCUUUGAACUUGCCAUCUUCCUGCCUCAACUUGUACUUCUAUCUUUGCGCUGUCACAGCGUGUUGUGCUUUGUUAAACUAGAUUGUAAGUUCAUAAACCACAAUUCUCUGUUCAUUAUGAUCUAUAUAACUAGUGACUGAUGCUAAAUAAGUGUACAGUAAACAUCCAAAUGAAAGUAUGAUCACUAGUAAAAAGCUGACAUUAUCAUUCAUCUGGUCUUCCUCCAAGAUUUGGAACCAGGAUAACACACACACACACACACACACACACACACACUUUGAUCCCUUGUCAAUGGUCUACCAUUUACUACAGUGGGAGCUUGAUGAACAGUUUAAAGAUGCCUGCUUGUUAUUUAUGUAGGUCUGUAUAGUGCUUCCAUUUUUCCAUACUCACAGCAUGUAGGUCUCACCCCCAAUCUCAACUGCUGAGUUUUCACUUUCCCUAUGACUUCAUAUGUAAGAGUUGUCUUCCUUCAUGCAUCACAUGCAUGUAGGAUGCUUGAAGUGGGGGUGGGUGUGAAUGAGAGGUUUACAUGGAAAAGAAGGGAAGGGAAGAACAAGGGAAGGGGAGGGAGACUCCAAACUGUAACAGCAGGAAUCACUCCAACAAGCCAGAAAGCAAAGGUGCAGCCUCAAAAAUAAUUUGAAAAACCAAGAAACCAACCAAUCACACUGACUCCAGUCUGCUUUCCAUUGCAACCCCAUAAAGUCCCCAUCCUUCAGUACUCCUGCUCAUUUAAGAUCCCUCUUGUGCCAAUACAUUCUUACAGUGUUGAAUUAAGAGGAAAAAAGGAAGUAGACUACUUUGUCUAUCACUGAAACUGGAGCAACAGGGAAGUGGGAUGGAUUAUCUUGUUUAAAUUUAUGCCUGCAAUGCAUACAAAUCCCAUCAAAAGUUCAAUAGAAAGGGUAGAUGGAUUCUAUUUCUUCCAUGUUGCAGGAUUACUGAAUAUCCCUUGACUUCAUUUUAAUAGAUAAGAAAAUCUGAAAUAUAUAAUAAAGAGCUUUAGCUCCCCAAAGUCUAUACUGCCCUUAUUCUAGUGCUUUCAGAUCCAAUUAAGUACUGUGAGAUCAAGAAAAACUCAUUUUUAUGUUUAUUUUGCUUUUUGACCUUGGCCUAUUCAAAAUGCCAUAAUGAAAAAAAUAAAAGUAAAAAAUAAGUAUACCACUUUUUUUUUCAUAUUCCCAUACAUAUCUGGGACUUUGGAGUCAAAGAUUUCUAUGGGUGACCUAUCUCCACCACUUCUGAACCAUGUGCAUUAGAGGAAGUCACUUUAUCUUUCUGACCAUCUGAUUCCUACCCUAUUAAAUAAGGAUAACUCACUGAAUUCACAAAGGCUAUUGCAAAGAUCAUAGUGAGGCAAUCAUGUAUUUUUCAGUUUCAUAUUACUACACUGAAAUGUUAGGGAAAAUUAACUUAUGAAGAGGAAAGUUUUAUUUUGGUUUGUAAUUCUGGGGGUUCAUCCAAAAUCAUGUGGCCCCGUUCUUCAGGCCUCUAGGAAGGGUAACACAUCAUGGAGGGAGCAUGUGACAGAGAUACUGCUUAUAUCGUGAGCCAGGAAGAAAACAAGAACAAUGGGAUGUGCCAGGAUUUCACAGUGUCUUUUCUCUGGGAGGGAGGACACACUUCCAAUGAUCUAAGGAGUUACCCAAAGACCCUCACCUCUUAAAAGUGCACAGCACUUCCAAAUACUGCCACCCUGAGGAACAAAUCUUUUAUGCACAGGCUUUUGGGAAACAGUCAAUAUCUGAUCUAUGGCAGCAUUUAUGUAUUCAAUAUUAUUGAUUCCCAAAGGAUUUUUAUUCUCUCCUUUGCCUGUCAUAACCCCAUAAAUCAGAGAGUUCCUGAACAAGUAAGACCACCAAGAAAUUCCAAUUCUGUAAUGAAUUUUGCAAUUCAUUUCAUCUUCUAGGUAACAUCAUCGCACAGAUAAAAGAAAAGAAAGAAUAAAUCACCUCCAUCCAAAAAAUAUUUACUGAGUGACUACUGCAUACAGGAGAACUAUGGUUAAAGUAAGGGCAUUGCCUUCAGAAACUGUGUGACCUAGAUAGAGUAGGUACUGGACAAGUAUAAAAUUCAAAUUCUGAUUAAGUGACCUAAAAAGUUACCAGGUACUAUGAGAGUACUUGGUAUUAGAAAUUCAGAGAAAACCUGUCUAAAGAAGUGACACUGAAGUUGGUCCCUGAAAAUGCACAUACUGUUGAGCAUUAAGCAUAAGAAGCAUAAUGUAUGCAAAGAGGCUUCUCAACAACAAGCCUGUAAAAAGACUGUAGCACAAAGCAGCUGGGAGAAUCUGGAGAGCUCAGAAAGCAAGGAUUGCUGGUGGACAGUGAUCAAGCCAGAGACAUAGGGAGAGACCUGGUCUUACAGCUUCUGGAUUUUAAUGAAUGGGAUAUUGAUGAAUAUUCAUCACCAAGAAAUCUCAUCAGACAUUUUUUUUUAAGAAUUCUUCUGCUUGCUAUAUGGAGAACAGAAAGAAGGGAAACAAAAAUAUAGGGGAACAAAAAGUGUAAGCAUAUGAAUUUAGACAUUAUUACUCAGGUCUAGAUGAGAGAAUCAUGGUGAUUUGGGUGGUGGUAUCAAAGACACAGAGUUGGAAGGAGAUCAGUAGGACUUUGUGAUCCGUGGGGCAUGGGGAGUGGGCAUGAUGGAGAGGGGUCAUUUUCUUAGAAGUUCUACUCGACUGCAAACUCAGUCAAAGAGGACAAUAUUGGUAGCACUUUGGUGAGAUGCCUGUAUGACAUGGCCUCUUCCAAGCACCUACCUUCUGCUUUCAUGGCUGUUGGUUUUCUUGUGAGACUCAUCCCUGAUUGUAGGUAGAGUAUGCAUGCUAGGUUUCAGCCAAUACAGUCAUGAUUCCCCAGCCUCUUGACUGGUUCAAGUAUGGGCCUGUGACCUACUCAGCCAAAGGGACUUGUGCCACCCACCAUUGGAGACUUCUGUUCUCAUCCAAUGACUUUGAAUAUGAAUGAUCUGAAUGUCUUAGAGGCUUCCAUUUGAACAGGAAAGGAGAAGACACUUGAGAAUGGAGCCAGCACAGAGCAAAUCAAAACAAGAUCACCAAGUGCAGGUGACAGCAUCUAAUCAGACACCUAUAUCAUGCCACACCUUGAGAUACACACAUUUUAUUUUUAUAUAAGCCAGUUUGGGUUGAGAUUUCUGACACUUGAAAUCAAGAGCCCUAAUUCAAAUACUGCAAUGCAAGGAAGAAGAGGAAAUGAAAAUAAUUUAGUUUUGUGAAGGUCUUUAAAUUUGAGUCUCAACGAGUCAUUGAUUCCUGCCAACUAACAUUCAUGCUCUUGUGCUAUCCCCUCUCCUUGCAUUUGGACUAUAUAUACUGACUUAAUUCUUUUUAAAUUUUUAAAUUUGUUCUGAUUACUUACACAUGACAGUAGAAUGCAUUUUGACACAUUAUACAAAAAUGGAGUAUACUUCUCAUUCUUCUGGCUGUACAUGAUAUAGAGUUACACAGGUCAUGUAAUCAUAUAUGCACAUAGGGUAAUAAUGUCCAAUUCAUUCUCCUAUCAUUCCCACCCUCAUACCCCCUACCCUCCCUUCACUCCCCUCUGUCUAAUCCAAAGUACCUCUAUUCUCCUCCACCCUUAUUGUGAAUUAACAUCUGCAUAUCAGAGAAAAUAUUCGGCCUUUGGUUCUUUGGUAUUGGCUUAUUUCACUUAGCAUAACAUUCUCUAGUUCCAUCCAUUUACUGGCCAAUUCCAUCUUCUUUAAGGCUGAGCAAUAUUUCAUUGUGUAUAUAAACCACAUUUUCUUUAUCCAUUCAUGUGUUGAAGGGCACCUAGAUUGGUUCCAGAGUUUAGCUAUUAACAUUGAUGUGGCUGCAUCACUGGAGUAUGCUGAUUUUAAGUCCUUUGAGUAUAAACCUAAGAGUGGGAUAACUGUGUCAAAUGGUGGUUCCAUUCCAAGUUUUCUGAGGAAUAUCCAUGUACUGCUUUCCAUAGUGAUUCUACCAAUUUGCAGUUGAUAUAUACUGGAAAUAAUUAUAUUGACUUAAUUCUAAUAAAUAGAAUUUGGCAUAAAGAAUGCACCUUCCAAGAUUAGGAUAUAAAAAGACUGUGGCUUCCCUUUUGUGUGCUCUCUUUUAGCCCUCUCCUGGCUCGAAUAUGGUUGCCUUAUUGAAAGAUAACCCUGUGGAAUGCCCUGCAUGAAUAAGCCUGGGAGGAGAUCUCCUGAAGUCUUCCUGAACUUCAAAGCAGAUCCUUCCUCAGUCAAGCCUUGAAAUGUCUAUUGCCCCACUCAAUACCUUUGGUAGAAUCUCUUGAGAGACCUUCAGCCAGCGUCACCCAAAUAAAGUGCAGAUUCAUAAGCCUCAAAA
rnacentral:lncRNA from 1 species